AUUCUACUCCCUCCGUUCCACAAUACAUGCCUUCUAUUUGUCAAAAUAUAGAUGUAUCUAGACAUGUUUUAGUAUAUAGGUACAUCCAUUUUUGGACAAAUGGAAGUCAAGUAUUUUGGAACGGAGGGAGGACACA
rfam:Triticum aestivum genome assembly, contig: Triticum_aestivum_CS42_TGACv1_scaffold_030276_1BL